CCCCCCUUUCCCAGCCCCUGCCCGCAUCCCUUGCCACUCGUACUCGCCGGAAAACUCAGUAAAUCGGCCGAGUUAACUCACAUGGUCCCCUCAUGGUCCCCGCUCAUCAUUAGGAUUUGAUUCUACGCGUUUUUUUCCUAUUUUUCAUUUUUCGGAUUUCUCUUUUAGGCAAAAUAGGAAAAAUGGGGUGCGUAGGAUUGAGUUGCACUCGAUCUACUCCCUCCAUUUCUCUUAUCUCACCAAUAUAAGAGAUUUUCCGAUUUUGGUUUUGAUUUUUCGGAGAAUUUCGUGGGGAUUUUCGGAUUUUUGAGGGGUUUUUGCGAUUUCUUGCAGAGGAAGGAGAGAAGCUUCGGGAGGGUGCUAUAUAUUUGGGUCUGGAUAGAGAUUGAAAGGAGACAGAGAAAAUUGGAGAAAAGAGGAGGGUUUGAUUUUCAGAGAUCUAUUUUUCCUUUUUCUGGGUUUGCUUCUGUUUUUUUCUUUUAUUUCAAAGAGUCAAAAAAAAAAAAAAUCAAAAAAAAAAAUAAUCAGAAAAUAGGGAGUCUUGGAGAGGAGGAAAAAUCGAAAUAGAGAUUUUUUUUAGAAAAAAUAGGAAAGGUUUAAUGGUUUGGUCCUGAUUCUCUGAUUUUGAUUCAAUUUUAAAAUGACGAAAACAAAUAUUGUGGUCUCUUCUUUGUGAUUCGGAUUUUCGAAACGGAGUGAAGCAGAGUUGGAUGUUCGAUUUGUGGAAUUGCUGUUCGAGUCUUCCGGUUGCAGUUCGUCGUCGUUGCUCAUUUUAACUGUUGUAAUUUUCCGAGAGAUUAAUUGAAAAGCUUUAACAGACCAUUUUGGUUGAGUUUGGAGCUGCUGUGUUGCUGGUAUUCUGGAGUGCUUCGCGAUCGCGGAGCUAGGAUCAAGAUUGCAGAGAAGAAUUUGGCCAAUCAGGGCUUUGUGCUUCGUGUUCGCAAUGGUUCCUUCACGUUCACGUGUUGUAAGCAGACUGGUAUACGAGUUCACAUGUCUCUAAUUGUGUUCGCGUAGAACGGGAGCGUGGCCGGUGUCUGGUUAAUGCAUUCGCGGUUGGUCAGACGCUUCGCGAUGUUGUGAGAGCAGCAGGCCUUCGCGAUUGCAUGGCCUCUUUCGCGAUCGCGUAGAGCAUUUUCCUGAGCAGCAGUGUUUUGUGCUUCGCGAAUGCGAAACUUGUGCCAUGUUCGCGAAGGGUACUUCUGGGCAGAUUAUUUAAGAUAUUAUUUCAAGACUUUUACUCAGUCUCUCAUAUUCUAAGCCAUAGACUUGGAAAUAGGUGAUUUUUCAUGGGGAUUUUCAUGCAAGGCAAGAGGGAAAGUGAUUUCUACCUAUUUGUGAUUAUAAUUCAAAGAUCUACAUGGACUCCUACAUCCAAAAAUAUUGAAAGAAAAUUUGGGGUUUUUGCCUAUA